AAAAAAAAGCUAAAUAUUUGUCAAAUAUUUUUGUGUAAGAAUAAUUCAAAUAUUUAUGAUCAAUAAUAAAAGUAAAUAUUUUUAAAUUACGUUUUGGUUUUAUAAAUAGAAGAAAAAAAUUAAGAAUUUUAAAAUAUGAAUCCGUGAUAAAUUAAUAGUAUGGCUAAUUUUUUUUUUUAAAAGGGAAGCCACACAAAUAGGAGUAAAAAAUAAGCUUACAGGUCCACAUUGAAUUAAAAAAAAGGAGUAAAGGGAGAGUGAUCCCAUUUUUUGUCUCCUCAUCUUCUGCCCAAACAAAAACCCUAGCCACCACACCUAGCCUUUCCUCUUCUCCUCCUCCUCCUUCCCUUACGACCACGAAACCACCGACCAUGCCUCCGACAGCUUUUGUUGGACGUGCGACCCACACUACUGCCCCAGUCCCACCCAAUUUGGUUUUUUUGUCAAACUUGUGCACAGGACAAACAACCACCGCCGCGGGACUUCUGGCGAGGCUCGUGAAGUUGAUAAUUGUAUACUAAAGUAGUGGUGUUACCAUAUUCUCACCUCCAUGUCAUUGAUUUGUGGAGGGAAAAACUGCAAGGUGAAUAGGUCUUUCUUCAAGGUAAUGUGUAACUGAAAAAAUUUCAAUAUGAAUAGGUGGAAGGCAAGCUCGUGGAGUCUUCAAGGCAAUGUGUAACUGAAAAUGAAUUGGUGGAAAGCAAGCUCGUGGGGUUUUCAAGGAAAUGUGAAACUGAAAAUUUGAUAUUAAUUUUUCGUUUAACACAUUGUUCAUUUAUAGUUUAUCUCUCAGCUUCCUUUUUAGUCAGUAUCCAGUUUAUGCCUUCUAACACAUGUAGGCAAACACAUUUUGCCCAUCCAUAGAAACUGCCCGGUCAAUCAAUAAUUAUAUUAUUUAAUAUAUUUAA